rnacentral:rRNA from 1 species
CAUAGGCUUCAAGCGUUGUCCGGAUUUAUUGGGCGUAAAGAGUUCGUAGGCGGUCGAGUAAGUCGGGUGUGAAAAUUCUGGGCUCAACCCAGAGACGCCACCCGAUACUGCUUAACUUGAGUUCGAUAGGGGAGUGGGGAAUUCCUAGUGUAGCGGUGAAAUGCGCGGAUAUUAGGAGGAAAACCGGUGGCGAAGGCGCCACUCUGGAUCGAUACUGACGCUGGGGAUCGAAAGCAUGGGUAGCAAACAGGAUUAGAUUCCCUGGUAGUCCAUGCGGUAAACGGUGGGCCCUAGUGGUGGGUUUCUAUUAACGAAAGCCGAGCCGUCGCUAACGCAUUAAGUGCCCCGCCUGGGGAGUACGGUCGCAAGACUA